rnacentral:lncRNA from 1 species
ACUCUUAUAUAAGUUAGUCUAUCCACAUGAAAAACUACAGUGGGGAAAUCUAGGUUCAUCAGCGAUUAUUUGUUCCUACAAAUUAUUUAGUUUAUAUUUUGUGUAUGAAUCUGCACUAAUCUCUGGGGAUAUAGCGAUAAACACAAGACAAAUUUUCUACCACCAAUAACAAAAACUUGUAAAAUGCAUGCUACAUUAAAAUUAUAGUAGCACAUAUAGGGAGAGUAUAUUUGAAAGAGAAGACAGAAAAAGCCUCAACAAAGUGAUAAUGUAAAAACUGAGUUGGCUUCCUCGAGAAUAAGUAAUCAUAGAGUAAGAGUGAGACAGCAGUACUGUGUUUCCGCUAUUUAUCCUACAUGCCUAUGGGUCAUAUGCUGUUAUAUGCUAAGGGAUAUUGCUUUAUUCUUGCAUGGUUUUCUUAAACUCUGCCUAUACUUACAUGACUUGCUUUUAUUUAAUGAAAUUCUCCUCAUAUUUCCUGUUUAGAGUACAACAUAUAAAUUUUAAUUGUCUUAAGCAUAAAACUGUAAGAUGAUUUACAAGGAGGCUUAAGAGAGCCAUAUACAGUACAUAGCUGUCGCAAAGCAUAGACACAAUCAACCGAGCAAACAGACAACCUACAGAAUGAAAGAAAAUAGCUGCAUACUAUGUACCCAACAAAGAAAUAAUAUCCAGAAUCUAUAAGGAACUUAAACAAGUCAACAAGAAAAAAACAAAGCCAUUAAAAAGUGAGCCAAGGAUAUGAACAGAUAUUUCUCAAAAGAAGACAUACAAGUGGCCAACAAACAUGAAAAAAAAAUGCUCAAUAUCACUAAUCAUCAGAAAAAUGCAAAUUAAAACCACAAUGGGAUGCCAUCUCACACCAGUCAGUAUGGGUACUAUUCAGUCAAAAAAUAACAUGUCGGCAAGGAUUGGGAGAAAGGGAAACGCUUAUACAUUAUUGAUGGGAAUGUAAAUU